rnacentral:misc_RNA from 1 species
UUCGGUGUAAAGGAUAGUAUUAGUAAAAACUUUUCGUCUUGAUGAUCACUGAGAGCAAGGAUAGUAAUACAUUGUGUGUUCUAACACACUAGGAGGAAACAAACAUGGAAAAAGGUAAAGUAAAAUGGUUUAAUGGCGAAAAAGGUUUCGGAUUCAUCGAACGUGAAGGUGGAGAAGACGUAUUCGUUCAUUUCUCAGCUAUCCAAGGCGAAGGGUUCAAAACUUUAGAUGAAGGUCAAGAAGUGACUUUUGAUGUUGAGCAAGGUCAACGUGGAGCACAAGCAGCUAACGUUCGUAAGGCUUAAUUAUAUCGCCAAAUAUGGACAGACUCUUUUUUAGAGUCUGUUUUUU